UAGGGAAUCUUCGGCAAUGGGGGCAACCCUGACCGAGCAACGCCGCGUGAGUGAAGAAGGUUUUCGGAUCGUAAAGCUCUGUUGUAAGUCAAGAACGGGUGUGAGAGUGGAAAGUUCACACUGUGACGGUAGCUUACCAGAAAGGGACGGCUAACUACGUGCCAGCAGCCGCGGUAAUACGUAGGUCCCGAGCGUUGUCCGGAUUUAUUGGGCGUAAAGCGAGCGCAGGCGGUUUGAUAAGUCUGAAGUUAAAGGCUGUGGCUCAACCAUAGUUCGCUUUGGAAACUGUCAAACUUGAGUGCAGAAGGGGAGAGUGGACUUCCAUGUGUAUCUGGGAAAUGCGUAGAUAUAUGGAGGAACACCGGUGGCGAAAGCGGCUCUCUGGUCUGUAACUGACGCUGAGGCUCGAAAGCGUGGGGAGCGAACAGG
rnacentral:rRNA from 1 species